rnacentral:lncRNA from 1 species
CAAAGCAAGAACAAAAGAAGAAAAGGAAGAACAAAGCCCUAGGUGGAAAAUUCAAGGGAAAAGUGUGAAAAUUCAAAGAAUCAAGCGACAAAAGGUGAGAUUUUUCAAUUCUAGCUUGUGAUCUACCUUUCCUAUGCAUUCUUUUUCAUUUUCCAUGGUUGAGAAUCAAGUUUGCAUGAGGAUACCCUUGCUAGCCGGACAUGGGUGGAGGAGUUUUGAUGCUUGAUUUGGUUAGAUUUUAAGAUAUUUUAGUGUUUUUAGUUAGUUAGUGAUGUGUAGCAUGAAAAUCAAGCAAGAAAAAUUCAUGUUCUUCCAUCAGCCAUCAUUGGCCGAAUUCUCCAUGUGGAAUAUUGAUGAUGAUUUUGAUUUUAUUUCAAGUGAUUUGGUUAGGAAUUAGUGAUUUAUGGUGUGAGAAUCAAGUUUGAAAAAUUAUAGUGUUGAUGCACCCACCAUGGCUGAAUUUUUCAAGAGAAAAUGUGAGGAUGAUUUUCCCAUAUUUCAAGUUAUUUAAUUUGUGUUUCAUGAUUUGGAGUAUUGGGAGAAAAAUGGAAUUGUUUGGAGUUGAAUUGGACAUAUUGGCCAAUUAAUCGAGUGAUAGAUCGAAUUAGGCCAAUACUGUUUUAUUUAGGUAUACAAUUGAAUUUGUGUAGAACACCAUGUUUAGACGAUAAUCCGAACAAUUUACAUUCCAUUUCAUGCAUUAGUAUAGAGCCUGAGUUGGUUUUAUAACAAUUUAGCACAAAUGUAGUAAAUGGCUUAUUGUGCAUUAUGUCUAGGUGGUGAGCAUUCUGGUAAAAGUAAAGAGAUAGUACCUCGAGGAUCAAGAAUCGGAGUACUCAAAACUCGAUUUCCAUUACAGUGAGUAACCUUACUAUCUUCUUAAUUAUCUAAAGUGAUUUUUAUCCGAUUUUGUGAUUUUAUGGAAAAUAAGUUUAAAUGGUAAAUCUUUAUGUUUUAUAAGCAAAAUGUGAUUAAAUGAAAUGAUUUUGUAAAAUUGUCUUGAAAUUGAAAGAUGGUUUUGAAAAUGGAGUAAUUGGAGACUAAUUGUUGUGUUAUAAAUCAUGGUUUGAACUGAAUGGCUUAUGAUAAUAUUGGCAUGAAUGGUUGAAUUGGUAAAUGUGCUGAAAAUGUAUGAACUAUGUAUUUAGCCUUUAGAGGCUGGAUUGUGAUAUAAUUGCCAUGUCAUGCUGUUAAAUUUUAUUGUAUGGUGGGUUAUAAUUAGUCGCUGCAGUGGAUGGGUUCUGUGGACCAGCCUAUUAGAGGGACACGGUAACCCUAUUAUAUUCAUACCUCAGUAUGAGAGGCGCGGUUGGAUAAAUCCUGAGGUUAAAACUUUAGAGUUCAUUUCACGCCAAACCACCACUUGAGGGUGAACUCAGCCAACGCUAAGAAACGGCUAUGUUUUCAAAAUAAAAACAUGAUUUAUGCGUACAAAAACUUUUUAACAACCUUGGCGGACUCGGUUGGGAUAGCCCCAGGUCAAGGUAUCCUUGAUAACUGAGUAUGAGAAUGAUUUUGGCACGAGCCAAAAUUUUUGAAAAUCAUAAGCCUCGUUGUUUAUUUUGGUGAAAUGAAUCUAUUUUAUCUUAUUAAAAUGAGUUCGAAAUAUUGAGAAUCAUUUUUAUGCUAAUCUAUUUUAUCUGUCUCCAUUUACUCAACUUUAGAUAUUUUAGAUGAUAUUUGUUUAUUCUUCUGGAAUUAUAUAAUCUCACCACCCUUCUUUCCACCCAUUUUAGGCUCAGGAUAGUCGGUAGAUAGCUCACUUUGUUGAGGUCUACAGUUGGACUUGCAUCCUCAAAAACUGUAGGUUUACUGCUUUUGAUACUUUUAGUCGUUCGUGGGCCCACGUGUCACUGUAAAUUAAAUUUUAUAGUUUGGUUAUCUGUAUUACAGUAUGUAUGAAUUUAUUUAGUUUUUACGCUACAAAAAUUAUUUACAGGUAACUCUAUAAAUAUUGUUUUAUAAGAAAAUAGAAUAUUUUAU